CCAGCUUCAUUAGUUUCUUCAUGAGAUUUCCCAGAAAAUGAUAGGGUCUGCUACAAAGUGCCCACUUUCAGUGGAGGUUACUAAUAUCUCUGACAAAGGGAUAUUCACCUUUGAGAAAAGGACUUGCUUCAUCUUCAGCUGCAAAUGAGCAUCAGAAUCAUUUGGAGGUAGAUGUUUGGAGGAAUUGUCAGUCAACUGGGAGUUUCCCCUUGAGUAAUUCUAAAGCGUAUACCUAUGUUACAAGCCUUGAGAACAACAGAAAAAGCUUUUGUAAAUUGGCCUCGAGCUGAAAACGACCAGUUAUCAAGACCGUGGAGUCUUCAGUAAUAAAAGGUUCUCAACCUCAGAGGGUCAUCAUGAGUGAUGAAGAGGUGAUAAACCAAUUACCUCGGCUGUUUUCCUGCCAUCCUCAGUGAAGCAGAGCAGGACGCUGGCGGCAAAAGAUCUGUAACACACACAUUGAGCCCUUUGUGUAUCUAAAUGAAUUGUGUUAGACAUAGACAAAUUGACAUACACAACACAAAAUGCAGCUUGUUGCAAUGGCAAUCAAGGGCUGUGUUCUAGUGUUGUGCACUCCGAGGUCAAUAUGAAACAGUGGAGUGUUUUCCAUCCAGAUAUUCCCAUGUCAAAGUGCUAUUAGCACCAUCCUGCCAAAUCUCACCCUGAGCCAUUUGUGAGCACAGUCCUCCUUUGGAAUAACACACUCUGCCCAGAUCUCAUUGCCUAUUCUUGUGUGUCACUGCAUAGUAUUGUAAAAUAAAUGAUGACAAUGAGACUAUGUAUCGAAACAAAUUCCAUCCCAACUAAUAUGUAAUUGUUAGCAUUCACUGGUGCAUGUCUGGAAAACAGGGAUAUGUAUCUUUGGAGUUUCACAAAACAUAUCUGGGAUUUUCAGCACCAACACAUAAAUGUCAAUAAUGAUCACAUUUUGGA